UAUUUUUAAUUGCAAAGGCUGCAUUUAAAGUCACAUUAAAUUUAAUAACUUUAAUUGUAUUACAUAUGUUUAUUUUUAAUUUUAAAGGCUGCAUUAUAAGCCCAAUAGAAUAUUGUAAGUGCCUACACGGGUAGCUAAUAUUUGUUACAUUGUAGAGGUUGCAUUUUAAAACCUCAUUUAAUUGUUCCACUGCCUGUGACCCUCAUUCCUGUUUUCCUUUUUUAAUUGUUUUUCCCCUUUUUCUUUUUUUUUUUUUUUUUGACUCCAUCAUGUCGCAGGAGGAUUUGUUGAGGCAAGUCAGGGAGCUGCAGGAAGAAUUGGCCAAACUUCAAACACCAGCAGCUUCCAGUGAUGUUAAAGCAAGUGUGUUUGGCAUCACCAUGAAAUUGCCACCAUUUUGGCAUGACAAGCCAGCAAUAUGGUUUGCCCAGGCCGAAGCUCAAUUUGAAAUAGCGGGCAUAUCACAAGAUUCCACCAAGUAUGGCCACAUUCUUUCUAAAUUAGACACUCGGGUUGCAACAGAGCUUGAGGACGUUAUCGAAAAUCCCCCAACUAAAGAUAAAUAUAACAAUUUGAAAUCCGAAGUAAUAAAGCGAUUUGGCAUUUCCAGAGAUCAGCGUGUUCGGCAACUGCUCAGUGAUGAGCCACUGGGGGACCGCAAACCAUCCUCAUUCUUGCGCCACCUGCAAACUCUCGCUGGUGCCAAGAGUGAUGAAAACAUAAUUAGGGAGCUGUGGAUGCGGAGGCUGCCAUCGGACAUCCAGCACAUCUUAAUGGCACAAAUAGAUUUGCCAUUGCAGAAGGUGGCAGACAUAGCUGAUGCUAUUAUGGAUACACCUGUCAGUAAGUCUAAUAAUUCUGUUAAUAUGGUCACACCUAGUGCUCCUGUGGCUGCUCAAUCUGCAGAGAUAGAGUCUAUCAUGCACAGCAUCAAAGCCUUAACUAAGAAGGUAGAUGCACUUACUCGAGACAACUCGAGGAGCACAAGGGCACCAUCAAGGCCUCGCUUAAAGUCGUUCUCCCGCACCAACAACAAUAUGUGCUGGUACCACCAAAGGUUUGGUGUAAAAGCAACCAAAUGUAUUUCGCCAUGCAGCAGCGCACCGGAGCCGGGAAACGCCAGCAGCAGUCAGUAAUGGCGGCUUCUGACUGCAAUCCAUCUGGCCGCCUUUGUGUGACUGACAUCACAUCUAAGCGUCAAUUCCUUAUAGACACAGGUUCCGACCUGUGCUGCUAUCCCCGCCAUUUGUUGAAAGGUAGUCUUAAGCCCACUAAAUAUGAGGCACAGGCUGCAAAUGGCAGCUCCAUUAAAACCUAUGGUAAUAUCAACCUUUGCUUAAAUUUUGGACUCCGACAAAAAUUUAAUUGGGAUUUUGUCAUUGCAGAUGUCAGCUGUCCUAUAAUUGGUUCUGAUUUUCUGGCCCAUUAUCAUCUCUUGCCAGACUGUCGCCAGCAGAGAUUAGUAGACGGGAUCUCCAAGCUGUCUUCACCAGCUACCGUAGCAUCAGCUGCUCAACCCGCAGUCAAGUCUGUUAUUGCCGGAGACUCUGCCUUUAAGAAAAUACUUCUGGAAUUCCCUGACUUAACACGCCCUCCUGGGCAGCUGAUUUACAAGCACCUCUACUGGAAGUUUUGGCAUCUAGCAAGUUAAAAGGAGCCAAGCCAGUACCAUGGACAAGUGACCUUGAACUGGCAUUCCAAAAGUGUAAAGACCAUUUAUCUAAUGCUACUCUUUUGGCACAUCCCGUUUCUAACUCUAAGCUUGGUUUGUUCACAGAUGCCUCAUCUACUCAUGUUGGCGCUUGUCUACAACAGUUUGUAGAUAAUGCCUGGCAGCCCAUUGCUUUCUUUAGCAAAAAGCUCACCAGCCGCCAGGCUACCUGGCCAGCGUACUACCGCGAGUUACUGGGAGUAUAUGAAGCUGUUCAGCACUUCAGACAUAUUUUGGAGGCCCAACAUGUCACCAUACAUACUGACCACAAGCCCCUUAUUUAUGCAUUCUCGCAACGACGCGAGAAGCUGCCUCCUGUUCAAUUAAAUCAAUUAUCUUUUAUUUCGCAGUUUACCACCGACUUCGUGCAUGUGCAGGGCACGGACAACGUUGUCGCCGAUGCCUUGUCACGAGUAGACGCCGUCCACGUCGGUUUUGACUACUCCGCUCUCGCCAAAGACCAGGCAACCGACGAGGAGUUAAAGCACAUGCAAAGUGACUCGUCCCUGGAACUAAAGAAGGUAACCAUACCUGGUUCUGAUACGCAAAUCUUUUGCGAUUUAUCAACUGGGAAACCCCGGCCGUAUCUCACACCAUCUUUUCGGCGACUGCAUUUUGACAAGCUGCACAACCUCAGCCAUCCAGGCGCACGGACCUCGGCGCGUAUGGUCGCCGACAGGUUCGUUUGGCCGGGUAUGAGGCGAGACUGCAGAAUGUGGGCCAGACUGUGUCCGGUCUGCCAACGCUGCAAAAUCUCUAGACAUACUGCCACGCCUUUAGGAAUCUUUACCACACCUACUAGACGUUUUCGCCACGUGCACAUAGACAUUAUUGGGCCUCUGCCAUCCAGUAGAGGUUACCAGUAUUGUCUCACAGCUGUGGAUAGAUUCACCCGGUGGCCAGAAGCAUGGCCCAUGGCCACCGCGACCGCGGAGGAAUGCGCGGAAGUUUUCUUUAGAGAGUGGAUGGCUCGUUAUGGUACCCCAUCUAUUGUGACUACAGAUCAGGACCGUCAAUUUGAAUCUUCCCUUUUUCAGACCCUGAUGCAGCUUUGCGGCGCCAAACGCGUGCGCACGACAAGCUACCAUCCGUGCGCAAACGGGUUGGUAGAGCGAAUGCACCGGCAGUUGAAGGCUGCUCUAAUGUGCCAUGAGGACACAUGGCAUAAAGCUUUACCUGUCGUGCUCUUGGGCAUGCGUGCCGCUCUUAAGGAGGACAUACAAGCAUCGCCCGCCGAGCUAGUGUAUGGAGAACCCCUAUGCCUGCCUGGCGAAUUUAUUGUUCCUCCCUCACUUUCUGAUCGCACUGACAGCGAAUCAAAUUUUGCAACUGAACUGAGACGGCAUAUGUCUGUUUUAAGACCGACACCUGCCACUCGGCAUAGAAAGCAGUCUAUUUUCGUUUCCAAGGACCUAGCUACUACGUCGCACGUUUUCUUACGUGACGACGCC